UGGGGAAUAUUGCACAAUGGGCGCAAGCCUGAUGCAGCCAUGCCGCGUGAGUGAAGAAGGCCCUAGGGUUGUAAAGCUCUUCCAGUGGUGAAGAUAAUGACGGUAGCCACAGAAGAAGCCCCGGCCAACUCCGUGCCAGCAGCCGCGGUAAGACGGAGGAUGCAAGCGUUAUCCGGAAUUAUUGGGCGUAAAGCGUCCGUAGGCGGUUUACCAAGUCAGUUGUUAAAGACUGCAGCUCAACUGUGGGCGAGCAACUGAAACUGAUGAACUAGAGUGCGGUAGGGGUAGAGGGAAUUCCCAGUGUAGCGGUGAAAUGCGUAGAUAUUGGGAAGAACACCAGUGGCGAAGGCGCUCUACUGGGCCGCAACUGACGCUGAGGGACGAAAGCUAGGGGAGCGAAAGGGAUUAGAUACCCCUGUAGUCC
rnacentral:rRNA from 1 species